rnacentral:rRNA from 1 species
GACGUAGGGCGCGAGCGUUUGUCCGGAUUUAUUGGGCGUAAAGAGCUCGUAGGCGGUUUUGUCGCGUCGUUCGUGAAAACUCACAGCUUAACUGUGAGCUUGCGGUCGAUACGGGCAGGCUAGAGUUCGGUAGGGGAGACUGGAAUUCCUGGUGUAGCGGUGAAAUGCGCAGAUAUCAGGAGGAACACCGGUGGCGAAGGCGGGUCUCUGGGCCGAUACUGACGCUGAGGAGCGAAAGCGUGGGGGAGCGAACAGG